rnacentral:rRNA from 1 species
UACGAAGGGGGCUAGCGUUGCUCGGAAUGACUGGGCGUAAAGGGCGCGUAGGCGGCUUGUAUAGUCGGAUGUGAAAUUCCUGGGCUUAACCUGGGGGCUGCAUACGAGACGUAUGGGCUUGAGUGCGGAAGAGGAGAGUGGAAUUCCCGGUGUAGCGGUGAAAUGCGCAGAUAUCGGGAAGAACACCCGUGGCGAAGGCGGCUCUCUGGGACGGUACUGACGCUGAGACGCGAAAGCGUGGGGAGCGAACAGG